rnacentral:rRNA from 1 species
CCUACGGGUGGCAGCAGUGAGGAAUAUUGGUCAAUGGACGAGAGACUGAACCAGCCAAGUAGCGUGAAGGAUGACUGUCCAAUGUGUUGUAAACUUCUUUUAUCUGGGAAUAAAGUGUUGCACGUGUGCCAUGUUGUAUGUACCUUAUGAAUAAGGAUCGGCUAACUCCGUGCCAGCAGCCGCGGUAAUACGGAGGAUCCGAGCGUUAUCCGGAUUUAUUGGGUUUAAAGGGUGCGUAGGUGGGUUGUUAAGUCAGUUGUGAAAGGAUGGGGCUCAACCGUAAGAUCGCAGUUGAAACUGGCAGUCUUGAGUACAGUAGAGGUGGGCGGAAUGCGUGGUGUAGCGGUGAAAUGCAUAGAUAUCGCGAAGAACUCCGAUUGUGAAGGCAGCACGCUGGACUGACACUGACGCUGAGGCACGAAAGUGUGGGUAUCAAACAGGAUUAGAUACCCGAGUAGUC